rnacentral:rRNA from 1 species
AGAUUGAACGCUGGCGGCAGGCCUAACACAUGCAGGUCGAGCGGCAGCACGGGUACUUGUACCUGGUGGCGAGCGGCGGACGGGUGAGUAAUGCCUAGGAAUCUGCCUGGUAGUGGGGGAUAACGCUCGGAAACGGACGCUAAUACCGCAUACGUCCUACGGGAGAAAGCAGGGGACCUUCGGGCCUUGCGCUAUCAGAUGAGCCUAGGUCGGAUUAGCUAGUUGGUGAGGUAAUGGCUCACCAAGGCGACGAUCCGUAACUGGUCUGAGAGGAUGAUCAGUCACACUGGAACUGAGUCACGGUCCAGACUCCUACGGGAGGCAGCAGUGGGAAUAUGGACAAUGGGCGAAGCCUGAUCCAGCCAUGCCGCGUGUGUGAAGAAGGUCUUCGGAUUGUAAAGCACGUUUAAGUUGGAGGAAGGCAGUUACUAAGUACGUAUCUGUUUGACGUUACGACAGAAUAAGCACCGCUAACUCUGUCGCCAGCA